rnacentral:rRNA from 1 species
UACGUAGGGGGCUAGCGUUGUCCGGAAUCAUUGGGCGUAAAGCGCGCGUAGGCGGUCCGGUAAGUCCGCUGUGAAAGCCGGGGGCUCAACCCUCGGAUGCCGGUGGAUACUGUCGGGCUUGAGUGCGGAAGAGGCGAGUGGAAUUCCUGGUGUAGCGGUGAAAUGCGCAGAUAUCAGGAGGAACACCAAUUGCGAAGGCAGCUCGCUGGGACGUAACUGACGCUGAUGCGCGAAAGCGUGGGGAGCAAACAGG